GCGGGGCAUAGUGGCUCAUGCCUGUAAUCCCAGUGGCUCGGGAGGCUGAGGCAGGAGGAUCUCAAGUUCAAAGCCAGUCUGAGCAAAUGGUGAAGCCCUGAGCAACUAGAGACAGUGAGAUUCUGUCUCUA
rnacentral:sRNA from 1 species